GACGAACGCUGGCGGCGUGCUUAACACAUGCAAGUCGAACGGAAAGGCCCUGCUUUUGUGGGGUGCUCGAGUGGCGAACGGGUGAGUAACACGUGAGUAACCUGCCCUUGACUUUGGGAUAACUUCAGGAAAAUGGGGCAAAUACCAGAUAGGAGCUCCUGCUGCAUGGUGGGGGUGGGAAAGUUUCGGCGGGUGGGGAUGGACUCGCGGCUUAUCAGCUUGUUGGUGGGGUAGUGGCUUACCCAGGCUUUGACGGGUAGCCGGCCUGAGAGGGUGACCGGCCACAUUGGGACUGAGAGACGGCCCAGAGUCCAACGGUAGGCAGCAGUGGGGAAUAUUGCACAAUGGGCGGAAGCGUGAUGCAGCAACGCCGCGUGUGGGAUGACGGUCUUGGGGUUGUAAACCGCGUUAGCCUGUGACGAAGCGUGAGUGACGGUAAUGGGUAAAGAAGCACCGGCUAACUACGUG
rnacentral:rRNA from 1 species